AGCGAACGCUGGCGGCAUGCCUAACACAUGCAAGUCGAACGAGACCUUCGGGUCUAGUGGCGCACGGGUGCGUAACGCGUGGGAACCUGCCCUUAGGUUCGGAAUAACUCCCCGAAAGGGGUGCUAAUACCGGAUAAUGUCUUCGGACCAAAGAUUUAUCGCCUUUGGAUGGGCCCGCGUUGGAUUAGCUAGUUGGUAGGGUAAAAGCCUACCAAGGCGACGAUCCAUAGCUGGUCUGAGAGGAUGAUCAGCCACACUGGGACUGAGACACGGCCCAGACUCCUACGGGAGGCAGCAGUGGGGAAUAUUGGACAAUGGGCGAAAGCCUGAUCCAGCAAUGCCGCGUGAGCGAUGAAGGCCUUAGGGUUGUAAAGCUCUUUUACCCGGGAUGAUAAUGACAGUACCGGGAGAAUAAGCUCCGGCUAACUCCGUG
rnacentral:rRNA from 1 species